GUAGGAUGUUGAAUAGGAAUGGUAAAAGGAGAUGUCAUUGCUUCAUUCUCAAUAUUAAAGGCAGAGAGUCUCUCACGGUGAUGAGUUUUAUUGUAGCUGUUUGCGUUGUCUCCCUCCCACAGCAAACCUUCAUGGCAUCUCCAGCUCUGAUUCCAGGCCCUGGAAGCUCUUGAUCUAGGACCAUGAUACAGCCUCGCCAAAGCUUGGACUUGAGUAGAUGCUGUCGAUGGCUACAUGCUCAGAUCUCUCUCCUAGGGAGGAAUAAAGGCACAUGGAAAGCUGACCUCCUUGAGAGCUGGAAAUCAUCUCCCUGGAAAUCAUCUUUGCAUUUUAAUAGUUACUUAUGCAUUGAUGACUUAACCUUUCAUUAGCUCAGAAAAAAUAAAUGGUGUGAGGGUGAGGAAAGCAUGCUCAAAGAAUCACAGCAACAAGUUUCUCUACCUGUGUCUCUCCUCUUUGAUCCAGCCCUUCUCCAUUAGCCAGAUUCUGAAAUACAGUGCCAAAUACAUAAGCAGUCAAUGGAAAUCCAGCACUUCUGAAGAGUGACCAAGAUGAAUGGAUGUCCAGGCCUUCCUUUGACAUUGCAUUCCAUUCUCUGCCUUUAAUUCUACUCUUCCUCUGUGUAAGGUGAUACAUAUUUAUGUCAACAAAUUGCCAUGUAUUUCUGUUUCCAAAGAUGUGUCAUUUGUCUAUCUACUGCUUAUGAUCCAACUGAUAUCUACACACCAAGAGGAGGAUAAUUUAUCAUAAAAAUAAAGAAUGAAAAUAAUUCCAAGCAGGACUUCAGGUCCAAUGACUAAAGACAGGGUUCCUUUAAAUGUCUUUGAAUAGCCUUUGUGGACUGAAGCCUAACAGUACAACAGUUUCAAUUUUGAUGACAGACUUUGAAGUAAAGCAACAAUUAACUGGCAAAAUAUUUUGGAACACGUCCUGAGCAAAAACAUGAACUUUGGUUUCUUGAAAGAAAGGUUAAGAAAGUAGAUAGUUUAGGUAAAUUCUUUUGUUAAAAAUGACCAUUUCUUCUUUUUUAAUUCUUGAGUGUCCUUCCAUCUGAUUCUGCAAGACUUUUCUAAUUUGUAUGUCCUUUUUCAAUGACAAAUAGCAUGUGCUUGAAUGUUUAUGGUCUGGCUCCCAGUAAGGUGAUAGCAAAAUGGGGUAGAACAGCCCAUAUAAAUAAUUCCCAGAAUAAAAAUCCAGAGAAAGUUGAUAACUGAAAAUAUGACUAAGGCAUUCAAGUAGGAAGCUGUGGGGCCUGAAGUCUUCAGCACUACUAUCCUCUUACCACAGCAUCUUAGAUUGGCUUAAAAAAUUUGUAUUCACCUUCCACUCUUUUGGAUUAUAUCCUUUGUCAUUUUUUUAAUGGGAGUUACUAAUUUCAUCUCAGCCCUAGCAACAGGCCCCAGCAACAACUCCCAGACACUUCCAAGGACUUACUCCUUUCAAGAAGCUUAUGAACCCUAGACACUGCAGCCCCAGUGUCAUCCCUCUUGGAGCCCCUGCUGAUUAGUGGGAGUAUUUCUACAUAUAUAUAAAAGCUUUAGUCAGAAAUGUGAAUAUGAGAAUAUUUCCUAUUUAAUUUUUUAUAUAAAACUUGAUAUUGUAUAAUUUUAAAAAUCUCUACAGAAGCACAAUUGCUUAGUGUAUUCAGACAGUUUCCUGGUAUUGUCAUAUCAAUAAAUUAUACUGGUAACUCAUAUUCAAGUUUAAUAUGGACAGAGUAAUGCAGUGUGGUUGAUUUUCCCUAUACCUUCACCUUGACCUUGAACUAAUUUACCAACUUUGUAUCCAUUUAUAUAACACAAAACUAUUUUUUAUAAACAUCACUGACAACUUGGCAUUCUUUUACACAAUAUAGUCAUAUUGGUCUUAUUUAUUGUAUGAAUUCUUCCUUUUUCUUAGCUCAUUUUCCUGAUGUUUACCAGGUUUAUUCACUUUAUAAGCAACCCAAUCACCCUCUGAACUCCCAACAGAGAAGUUUAAACAAAGCAGUAUGUUUCAAUGAAUAGUUAGCAUUAUACAGCUCUAUAAUUCUGCAAACAUUUUAACAUUCUCCCUUGUUUCACUUUACUCUGAAAUAUCUUUGGAUAGAUAAUGUUAUCUCCAUUUGCAGAUGACAAGAUUGCUUAAGUGACUUAACGUUCCUUAAAAGGAAUUAGAAUGUUAGCCCAAAUAACGUCUCUACACCACAUCACACUAUCUCUCUUCAUAUUUCUUUCUUAUCAAUUAAUCAAAUAUCAGAGGACUACACUUGCAUAAUGCUAGAACAAUUAUAAAACUAGGUGUUAAUUUGAGUUUAUGUACAUCACCUCCUUGAAGUGGUGGUCAGGUAGAUAGUGAAAACAAACAGAACCAUAAAAGUGGAAGGGUCUUUGGGAUCAGCUACUUCAACAUAUCACUCUGCAGAUGAAAACAUACACACACAUACACACACCAACAACCCUGAUCAUUCAGAACAGCAACUAUUUUCAAAUAACUGCAACUUGGCAAAGCUGCAUAAUUUUUCCCAAAAAGGAAAUUUAACUAUUAUUCAUUGAAAAAAAAAUGAGUGAGGGAAAAUAUUCCUUAGGGCAUGAAGAUAAUGCUGAAGUACAUUUAAAAUUUAGAGAGUGGUCUGAGUUGACAAAGCCAUACCAGGCCUUUUAAAGUGGCUUACAAAUCAGGGAGUGCAUCCUUAGGUCCGAGUCACCAUACACUGAAAUGAACAUCAAAUAUCAGGAUUUAGCCACAGCACCUAGUUUUAGUUAAGAGUCAAUCUUACAAUUUUGUUUCAACAAAGUACGAAGAACUUCCUUUUGGAUUCAUGGCCAGAGAAAUGACUGUCUUGUGCUAGAAUGAGGCAGGUGUUAGAUAGAACUCAAGGCCCUGCCUGGACUUAGGCAGGUAGAGCUCAAGGUCCUGGUAAGGCACAGCAGAGGGGUACUAGGGUCAAGGCUUCAGAGUAAACAAGAAGCCUCAUCCUGGACAUCUGCAAAAAUUCAUCUUGAGGAAAAGGGAGUUUCCUAAUCUCAUCUCAGCCCUAGCAACAGGCCCGAGAAACAACUCCCAGCCACUUCCAAGGACUUACUCCUUUCAAGAAGCUUAUGAACCCUAGAUACUGCAGCUCCUGUGUCAUCCUCUCUUGGAGCCCCUGCUGAUUAGAGGGAGUAUUUCUUUUCACUUUUUGUUAACAUCUUUGCUGGCCCCUCCAAAUUAGGGGGAACUUUUCUACUUUUACUUUUUUAUUAAACUUUGCUGGUUGCUCCCUACUGUUGUCUGCUGGCUUCAUUCUUCAUCACCUCUGAGAUCAGUACAAGAGAAUGUGACCAGGACAGGGUGUCAUGAUGUUACUAGAUAGCACCAAAUCCUCAGAAACCUCCUAAUCUUAAUAUCAUGAGCUUUCCACUUUUACUAAAACUAUCUCUUGUUUAAUAUUAAAUUGAUUUGAAUGCUUGAAGACCAGUUCAUAUAUGCAUGUGCUUUCUUGGAGAAAAUAUAUAAUUCAAUAUCUCCUAUUGAUUUACAUGUUUUAAAAUAAGUCCAUUCAUUUGAAAUCCCAGAGCCAUGAAGAACAGUGAAGGAAACUCUGCCUAUAGUUGGCUGUAGUUUGUCAUCGAAAUGCUGUAUUAGAUGUGCCCCUCAGGAAAAUUGACAGAGAUCUUGAAGGCUCUGGGCUACUAGAAGCACUUGGUAUCAAGAAUGGGAGGGAAAAGAGAUAUGGUCACAUGGAAAGGAACCAAUAAGUAUGUACAGGUGAUGUCAGAAUCAUGUUUCACCCAGCCCAGUCAUGGCUUUAGCAUAUAUUUCACCCUGCUAAAUAUAUGCUAUAUAAAUUUUAUACAUUUAUAUUUAUAUAUGCAAUAUAAAUAUAUAAACUGAAGACACAUAGGCUAUAUAAAUAUAUAAACUGGAAGCUUGUGGUUUUCAUUACUUGUAUGUAAUCUCUCAUAUGGCCAUAGCUCAAUGGCUGUAGUAACGUAAUUUUCUGAAUCAAGAUUUAAAGAUUGGCCAUUGGACUGAGACAUUUAGGAAGUGACAGGAGACAUUCAGGCAUCCAACAUUCUUUCAGGGUUGUCACCAUUUUUGUUCAUCAUUUUGUGAACAGUAAUUCUUCUGAUAUGACUCUGAGAUGGUAGUCAAGAUAAAGAAAACAAGUUUAAGAAAGGAGUGACUCUUCACAGGAACAAAGCAGCACCAGAUAAGUUAAAGAGAGACUGUUCAGGGGCUGAUUCAGAUCUGUUUUGCAAAUUAAACCAAUUAUUUGCUCCCUAAUGAAAGAAUAAGUUUUUAAAAAUCCAAAGCAUUAUGAUGAGAGCAAAAUUUGCUAAAAGUCAAAAAGCAACUUUGCUUUCAGUAUUAGGCUUACAAACAUAAGGCUAUUGACAGAAGUGUUAACUGCAUGCAAGUCAAUGACAAGGAAAGUCUUUAGGGAUAUUCUGGGGCAAAAGUCCAAACUUUGUCCAUUCCUAUGUCAAACUGUAUUACAUGAGAUGCCUUGUUCUCAAUAAAUCCAUUUGUGAAGAUGAAUGCAAGAACAAUACCAAAUGCAUAGAUAGAUAAUUACUUUGUGUCUUAUCUUGAGCUAGAAUGAAAAUGACGUUGGUCAAAAAGAUACGACUAAUAUUCACUCUUAGAGUGUUUAUUUCCACAGAUGGAUUUUGAGGAAUCCUUCUGAAAAUCAGCAGCUCACCUGACUCUUCUCCACUAAGUGGAAAUGCACACCCUACCACUGUUCCUAAUGCAAAAUUAUGUCCUUAAUGGAAAAUUAUAUGCUAUGAAAAGGGGAUGACAUUAUACUGGGUAUAAUUAAU